rnacentral:tRNA from 1 species
GUGGCACAGUUGGUAGAGCUUUUGCCUUGCAGCAAGAAGGUUCUGGGUUCGAUUCCCAGC